ACGAGUCUGCUGGUAAAGGAGGGUUGGCAUCCUGUUUGAUCGCUUAACACAAUCAUGGCCUCAAUACCCAUUCUUAAUGAACGUUGUGGCUUCACACUUGAAAUCGACUGCAAGGUACAAUGACCCGUGCAAAGAUUUCUGAAAUUAAUGCCUGCAAUGACACUGAUCUUCUUGACGCGCGACCCAUGAAGAUAUGAUUUUCUUAUGAUCGAAGUAAUAAUGAAUACUGCUAUCUUUUGGUUGAUAAACAUGUACACUUAAAAAAUUACAACACCGUUCUCAUAUUAUGUUGGAAAAGAAGAUAAGAUUCCAGGCGUACUCACCCAAACCAACCAAGGGCU